UUUUUCAAAUAUAACUGGAUGUCGAUAUUUUCAGCUAUGUCGUAGGCAGAAGUAAUCAGUGGUUGAUUGACUGGUGUCACUAUGUAGGUGAUCAGAGUUGAGGUGUAGGCCUGGACGAAGAAGAAAGCGGCCAGGGUCCACACGCCAGCGGCAAAUCGAUACGGUAGCCAUUUCGAAGGGCAAAAACCACCUGAUUAUGAAGGACCAGUGAAUUUGGUUCAAAAUUUUCCCUUUGACAAAACGAUGGUCCAAUCAAUUAGCAUCUUGAACAGAUCCCGGGAAGUCUAGCGAGCAGAACAUUGAAAAAAUAAAACUCAACUUUAUCAAACAGAUAGCUGAAAAGUCCCCGCCCAUUUUCCGGUGGCUCCAGUCGGUUUUCCGUCACACGGACCAUUUCGUACCUGGAAAUUAAAGGGAAGCUUUUAGAAAUACGCCCCCUUUAAGCGGCCCUGACAAACCCUUUGGGUUGCCAUGCCAACGAGGCUAGAAUGGUGAUGUGCCAGUUGCAGAUGACUCGCAGGUGUCGUCCGUUGAGGGAAUUCAAAGUCGGCGAUGCUGGAAAGGCACAACUCGAAACGGCCAACCAAACGAACAAAGGACAUGUCGUAUGCUGGAGAUAACGGACCACUAAACUGGGUUUAUCAAUAGUCGAAUGAGGAUCCGAAUCGAGGAGAUUCAGAAAGCGUCAACGACAAUAAGGUUAGCAAACUCUGCAUUUCUAACUAGAAUGAUAUUGUACUAUUUAUUUAAUUAAGUUCAAGCGGCUAGAUUG